UGGGGAAUCUUAGACAAUGGGGGCAACCCUGAUCUAGCCAUGCCGCGUGAGUGAUGAAGGCCCUAGGGUUGUAAAGCUCUUUCAGCUGGGAAGAUAAUGACGGUACCAGCAGAAGAAGCCCCGGCUAACUCCGUGCCAGCAGCCGCGGUAAUACGGAGGGGGCUAGCGUUGUUCGGAAUUACUGGGCGUAAAGCGCACGUAGGCGGACCGGAAAGUUGGGGGUGAAAUCCCGGGGCUCAACCCCGGAACUGCCUUCAAAACUAUCGGUCUGGAGUUCGAGAGAGGUGAGUGGAAUUCCGAGUGUAGAGGUGAAAUUCGUAGAUAUUCGGAGGAACACCAGUGGCGAAGGCGGCUCACUGGCUCGAUACUGACGCUGAGGUGCGAAAGCGUGGGGAGCAAACA
rnacentral:rRNA from 1 species